ACGAACGCUGGCGGCGUGCUUAACACAUGCCAGUCGAACGGAAAGGCCCUGCUUUUGUGGGGUGCUCGAGUGGCGAACGGGUGAGUAACACGUGAGUAACCUGCCCUUGACUUUGGGAUAACUUCAGGAAGCUGGGGCUAAUACCGGAUAGGAGCUCCUGCUGCAUGGUGGGGGUUGGAAAGUUUCGGCGGUUGGGGAUGGACUCGCGGCUUAUCAGCUUGUUGGUGGGGUAGUGGCUUACCAAGGCUUUGACGGGUAGCCGGCCUGAGAGGGUGACCGGCCACAUUGGGACUGAGAUACGGCCCAGACUCCUACGGGAGGCAGCAGUGGGGAAUAUUGCACAAUGGGCGGAAGCCUGAUGCAGCAACGCCGCGUGCGGGAUGACGGCCUUCGGGUUGUAAACCGCUUUCGCCUGUGACGAAGCGUGAGUGACGGUAAUGGGUAAAGAAGCACCGGCUAACUACGUG
rnacentral:rRNA from 1 species